CCCGUCUUCUACGAUCUAAAAUAAGUUUGCAGGUUUUGACACAUUUUUGUAUCACAUUAAUAUUUUCACUCGCUAAAAUAAAUGAAAGUUUCAAGGAAUUCGGCAAUAGACUAAAAUUUUCGUUUUCAAAGUUUAAAAUCUUAUACAGUUCGUCUCUAAGAUCGUCGUACAACGGAUAUACAGUCAAUAGAUGCUCCUCCGUUUCAAUUAUAUCGUCACAAACAAAACACGUUCUUUGAUCUAUUGGAAGACUCUCGCGUAGCGUCCUGUCUCCACCCGUAUAGGGACAACACCACAGCGAAACUGAAAAGAGUCAGUUUAUGUUGAAUAAUUGAAAAAAUGAGUAAUUAAUAAUUAAAAAAGCAAAUCUUGAAACACAAGAAAAAAAGAUAAAGCAAAUUAACACUAGUGAUAUUAAGGUUCCUCUAUAAAAAUAUAUGUGAAUAAAAUGCAUAAUGAUUGUAUGUAUUGAUACAAAUUAUAAAAUACAUUUACACCAUGAUUACAUUGAAAGUGUAAGGAUACCCUACAUUUAUCAUGAUAAUCAUGUUCACUGUGAACGAAGUCAAAUCAUUAGAA
rnacentral:lncRNA from 1 species